rnacentral:rRNA from 1 species
UACAGAGGGGGCAAGCGUUGUCCGGAUUUACUGGGCGUAAAAAGCGCGCAGGCGGUCGAUCAAGUCGAGUGUGAAAGCCCCCGGCUCAACUGGGGAGGGUCAUUCGAUACUGAUCGACUCGAAGGCAGGAGAGGGUAGUGGAAUUCCCGGUGUAGUGGUGAAAUGCGUAGAUAUCGGGAGGAACACCAGUGGCGAAGGCGACUACCUGGCCUGUUCUGACGCUGAGGCGCGAAAGCUAGGGAGCAAAGCGGG